UACAGAGGUGGCAAGCGUUGUUCGGAAUUACUGGGCGUAAAGGGCGCGUAGGCGGUUCGUUAAGUCCUGUGUGAAAUCCCCCGGCUCAACUGGGGAACUGCACAGGAAACUAGCGGGCUUGAGUUCGGGAGAGGGAAGCGGAAUUCCGGGUGUAGCGGUGAAAUGCGUAGAUAUCCGGAGGAACACCGGUGGCGAAGGCGGCUUCCUGGACCGACACUGACGCUGAGGCGCGAAAGUGUGGGGAUCAAACAGG
rnacentral:rRNA from 1 species